rnacentral:sRNA from 1 species
GAACCACCUCAGCAGGGGCAUCACCGCUC